rnacentral:rRNA from 1 species
UACGUAGGGUGCGAGCGUUAAUCGGAAUUACUGGGCGUAAAGCGUGCGUAGGCGGUUCGUUAAGUUCGUCGUGAAAGCCCCGGGCUCAACCUGGGAAUGGCGAUGGAAACUGGCGGGCUGGAGUAUGGCAGAGGGGGGUGGAAUUCCACGUGUAGCAGUGAAAUGCGUAGAGAUGUGGAGGAACACCGAUGGCGAAGGCAGCCCCCUGGGCCAAUACUGACGCUCAUGCACGAAAGCGUGGGGAGCAAACAGG